AACGUACGCUGGCGGCACGCUUAACACAUGCAAGUCGAACGAAGUAGCAAUACUUAGUGGCAGACGGGUGAGUAACAUGUGGGUAUCUGCCCUUUGGCCUGGAAUAACACGAGGAAACUUGUGCUAAUACUGGAUAAGUCUUUACGGAGAAAGCUUUAUGCACCAUUGGAUGAGCCCGCACUUGAUUAGUUUGUUGGUGGGGUAAUGGCCUACCAAGACUGUGAUCAAUAGCUGAUUUGAGAGGAUGAUCAGCCACAUUGGGACUGAGACACGGCCCAAACUCCUACGGGAGGCAGCAGUGGGGAAUCUUGCACAAUGGAGGAAACUCUGAUGCAGCGAUGCCGCGUGAGUGAAGAAGGCCCUUGGGUUGUAAAGCUCUUUCGUCGGGGAAGAAAAUGACUGUACCCGAAUAAGAAGGUCCGGCUAACUUCGUGCCAGCAGCCGCGGUAAUACGAAGGGACCUAGCGUAGUUCGGAAUUACUGGGCUUAAAGAGUUCGUAGGUGGUUGAAAAAGUUAGUGGUGAAAUCCCAGAGCUUAACUCUGGAACUGCCAUUAAAACUUUUCAGCUAGAGUAUGAUAGAGGAAAGCAGAAUUUCUAGUGUAGAGGUGAAAUUCGUAGAUAUUAGAAAGAAUACCAAUUGCGAAGGCAGCUUUCUGGAUCAUUACUGACACUGAGGAACGAAAGCAUGGGUAGCGAAGAGGAUUAGAUACCCUCGUAGUCCAUGCCGUAAACGAUGUGUGUUAGACGUUGGAAAUUUAUUUUCAGUGUCGCAGCGAAAGCGAUAAACACACCGCCUGGGGAGUACGACCGCAAGGUUAAAACUCAAAUGAAUUGACGGGGACCCGCACAAGUAGUGGAGCAUGUGGUUUAAUUCGAAGAUACGCGCAGAACCUUACCAACACUUGACAUGUUCGUCGCGACUCUAAGAGAUUAGAGUUUUCGGUUCGGCCGGACGAAACACAGGUGCUGCAUGGCUGUCGUCAGCUCGUGUCGUGAGAUGUUGGGUUAAGUCCCGCAACGAGCGCAACCCUCACUUUUAGUUGCCAUCAUUAAGUUGGGCACUCUGAAAGAACUGCCAGUGAUAAGCUGGAGGAAGGUGGGGAUGACGUCAAGUCCUCAUGGCCCUUACGUGUUGGGCUACACACGUGCUACAAUGGUAUCUACAACAGGAAGCAAGACUGCGAGGUCAAGCAAAUCCUUAAAAGAUACCUCAGUUCGGAUUGCACUCUGCAACUCGAGUGCAUGAAGCUGGAAUUACUAGUAAUCGUGGAUCAGCGUGCCACGGUGAAUGCGUUCCCGGGUCU
rnacentral:rRNA from 1 species